GGGAAACAGGAAAACGGGGACGAUUAGACUCUAUCUAGGGGAGCCAUGUGGAAAAACCAGCUUCAGCAAAAGCCUCAAGAUUGACUCUGGAGUAAAUUGCACAUGGCCUCAAAUUCUUUGCAGCUCCUUCCACUAUGAGGUGGCAUGUAUUACUCCAAUCCCUGCAUCUGGGCUGGAUUUGUGACUUGUUUUGAACAAUAGAAUGUGGUAAAAGUGACAGUGAAAAUAUAUGAGUUUCAAGCCUAAGACAACAUGCUUUUCAGCCUUUGCUCUGGAUUUCUUUGAAUGCUGCUGUCACAUAAACAAGACUGAAAUAGCCUACUAGAGGAUGGGAAAUUACAUGGAGCAGAGACAAGCAGUCCCAGGUGUGGAACCCCUAGACCAGCCAGCUUACCAACCACCAGACAUGAGAGUGAGACCAUCCUAGAUCACUCAGCUCCAGCCAAGCCACCAAGAGACCACACAGAUCAGCUGAAUUGGCCUAGGCCAGACGAACCACUCUGCCAACCCACAGAAUUACUAAAAAUAAUAAAUAUUUGUUAGUGAAGACUUCAAGUUUGGGGAUGUUUGUUAUGCAGC
rnacentral:lncRNA from 10 species